UUGUGUCAAGGAAAGUAAUUCAAGGCCAUGGGAGCUGCUUCUAGUGUAGGACGUGCUAGACCUGUUGCUGCUACCGGUUGUGUUACCCGACCAAGUCCCCAAGCUGCAUCCUGCUGCUCCUGCCCUGGCCGUCCUCAACUUGCUCCUGGACAGCUACCGCAGAGGAGGUAUGGCUGCCGCGCAAUGAUGCUGGAGACUGUUGCCGCAGUGCUGGGGAUGGAGACAGAUUGCAUUGGAAAUAUUCUGUUAUUCCUUGCUAAUGUUCUUGUUGCUGAUAAUAGGGCAUGUAGAUAUCAAGUUAUUUUCCUAGUGGUUACUUAUGCUUAUUGUGUAUCACAUUUAAAAAGAAAAUGCAAAAUGAGCUUGUUUGAUCUUUUUUAUGCUUAUGUAUGCUUGAUCAGGGUAGUUCUUUUUUAAUUUGAUGACAAUGAACCAAUAUAACCAGUCAUCAGUAGCUAGUGUGCAUUGCCAAGUACAACAGUUCUACAUUGUAUGGAAUCAUCUAUAGAUAUUAUUUAUCGAUAUGGGUUAACUCA